rnacentral:rRNA from 1 species
GUAGCGAAAGAUAGGUGAGAAUCCUAUCCACCGAAUGAGUAAGGUUUCCCCCGGAAGGCUCGUCCGCGGGGGGUUAGUCGGGACCUAAGGCGAGGCUGAAAAGCGUAGUCGAUGGACAACAGGUUGAUAUUCCUGUACCGAUAUUUAAUUGCCGAAGGAAGGACGCAGAAGGAUAACACAGGCCACUAUUGGAUGUGGUUUUAAACAGUUAGUCUUCAUAAGAGUCAAAUGCUUUUAUGUUUAAGGAUAAGCUGUGAAUGUACCAAGUUUACUUGGGAAUUGUGUGAUUUCACGCUGCUGAAAAAAGUUUCGUAGGAAGAAAAUAUUGCCCGUACCGCAAACCGACACAGGUACUCGAGUGGAGAACACUAAGGUGAGCGAGUGAACUAUUGUUAAGGAACUCUGCAAAAUGAGUCCGUAACUUCGGAAGAAGGACUGCUGGUUUUAUACCAGCCGCAGCAAAUAGGCCCAAACAACUGUUUAUCAAAAACACAGGUUUCUGCAAAAUCGUAAGAUGAAGUAUAGGGGCUGACGCCUGCCCAGUGCUGGAAGAKUAGMGRARGAUAGGUGAGAAUCCUAUCCACCGAAUGAGUAAGGUUUCCCCCGGAAGGCUCGUCCGCGGGGGGUCAGUCGGGACCUAA